rnacentral:rRNA from 1 species
AGAGUUUGAUCCUGGCUCAGGAUGAACGCUGGCGGCGUGCCUAAUACAUGCAAGUCGAGCGAACCACUUCGGUGGUGAGCGGCGAACGGAUGAGUAACACGUAGGUGAUCUGCCCAUCAGACGGGGACAACGAUUGGAAACGAUCGCUAAUACCGGAUAGGACGAAAGUUUAAAGGUGCUUCUGGCACCGCUGAUGGAUGAGCCUGCGGCGCAUUAGCUAGUUGGUAGGGUAAAGGCCUACCAAGGCGACGAUGCGUAGCCGACCUGGGAGGGUGAACGGCCACACUGGGACUGAGACACGGCCCAGACUCCUACGGGAGGCAGCAGUAGGGAAUCUUCGGCAAUGGGCGAAAGCCUGACCGAGCAACGCCGCGUGAAUGAUGAAGGCCUUCGGGUUGUAAAAUUCUGUUAUAAGGGAAGAACGACUUUAGUAGGAAAUGGCUAGAGUGUGACGGUACCUUAUGAGAAAGCCACGGCUAACUACGUGCCAGCAGCCGCGGUAAUACGUAGGUGGCGAGCGUUAUCCGGAAUUAUCGGGCGUAAAGAGCGCGCAGGUGGUUGAUUAAGUCUGAUGUGAAAGCCCACGGCUUAACCGUGGAGGGUCAUUGGAAACUGGUCGACUUGAGUGCAGAAGAGGGAAGUGGAAUUCCAUGUGUAGCGGUGAAAUGCGUAGAGAUAUGGAGGAACACCAGUGGCGAAAGCGGCUUCCUGGUCUGUAACUGACACUGAGGCGCGAAAGCGUGGGGAGCAAACAGGAUUAGAUACCCUGGUAGUCCACGCCGUAAACGAUGAGUGCUAAGUGUUGGGGGUCGAACCUCAGUGCUGAAGUUAACGCAUUAAGCACUCCGCCUGGGGGAGUACGGUCGCAAGACUGAAACUCAAAGGAAUUGACGG